rnacentral:tmRNA from 1 species
GGGGCUGACCGGUUUUGACAGCAAGACGAAGAAGUGUGUAAGCAUGCCGAGCUAUCCAGUUGAAUGCUCGUAAAUACAAUGCUGGAAUCUUCAAUUGGCGAGUCUAACUACGCUCUUGCCGCUUAAUCUACAGUUUGUAGAUUAAGCUUGUCCCGCACCAGGUGCGGGAGCAGGACAUCCCCCGGAAUCCCUGACCUGCGGAGUCCGAUCAGGGGGUGCUGGAAAUGCAGGAAUAGGAACGGCCGGGGCGCUCGGCUGUUUUGAAAACUUUAGCGUCUAAGCGACCGGUAGCGCGUGCCCCCGCGGCCGGCCGACGAAAAAUAAUGGGUCACUAAGCAUGUAGAAAGCCCUCGGCUUCCUUGUUUGGACGCGGGUUCGAUUCCCGCCAGCUCCACUA